CUCAGAGAAAUGAUAAGUUCACACGUGCAUUUUGUUUGUUUGAAUUUUGUUUGGCGUAAUCAGCAGUAUUUUAGUCAUAUCACAGCGAUGAGAACAUACAGACAUUUAUGUUUACACGCUGGUCAUUCAGAUACUUCGAUAUAGCGAUGGCACUUCGAUAACAGAGAAAAAAAGCUGCGCGCGAGAGUUUAAAGGAAGGACCACGUGCGCCGAAUGGAGGAUGGACGCCUACCAAAGGACGUCAUGUACGGCCAGCUCGCAACUGGCACUCGACCCGUGGGUCGGCCAGUCCUGAGGUACAAGGGUGACUGCAAGGGGGACUUCAAAGACUGCGGCGUCGCAACAGACACCUGGGAGACUUUGGCCGAGAAUCACAUGGCUUGGAGACAGUCAAUACAUAAAGGAAUCGAGGCAGCCGACGCAAGCAGUUCUGAGCUUGCAACUCGAAAGAGAAGCAUGCGGAAAGCCCGCGCCGCAAUUCCCCGACUGCAAGCCUUGUUGCGUGCAUAUUGUACAACACGGACUGCCAUUCCCGCAUUGGCCUGCUUAGCCACAGCAGGCGUUGCUCCCAGAAGUGACAAACAGAGCGCAUCAGCAUAGUCUCCCGAGACUCAGCUCUGUCAACUCAACUAAGUGCAUGCGUUUGUUACUGAUGUGUGUCGUGGACUUCUUUCAUUUUGAAAGAGUGCAUCUGCAGUAUCUGUGAAAAUCUAGCAACUAAAAUCUAUGCAUGCGUUUUGUACCACAAUAUCCUAUAUUUUAAUGUGUUGACUCAAUGAAAUGUUUGUGUUAAUAAUUUAAAUAUAUUGUAUUUUCAGUAAGGGUUUAUUUUCAGUUAUAAAUUACAGGUGAUUGAAUGACUUUCUUGUCAUUUUUUAAAAUCAACGGUCAAUAAAAAGAAAAAUAGUUAAACGAUUACACUCAUUAAAUAGACGAACCGUCAGUAAGUUCAUUUGAUUUCUGGAAACUGUCAUUAGUUUACAUGUACAAUCACAACAACCGCUUGACAUUCAAAUCGUUUAUACAAUGUAUUUUAUUAGAGGAAGAGGGGUGGAGAGCAGAUAUAAUCUAAUAAAGUUAUGUGGCAGGGCCGGCAACGGAAACCGCGAUCUUCAGAUUUUUAGUCCACCGCUUUCCCAUCUGAACAAGCCGGUGACGAAAGGAAGGUACCCAAGAAUAAGAUUUAUUAUGUGUGUUAUUUCUUUAUUUGAUAACCGACAGCAUAUAUGCAGUAAAUUCCCUAAAAUUAUGCAUUUUAGUAAAGUAUUCAUGUUCCAUCUUUUGAGGCACAUGUUUUUAUACUACACAUUUUAUAUAGAUGAAAUUGUUAGGAACAUAUUAAUACAACAGCACCACUUUUUCUGCAAUACACGCCUUCAGUUGGCUUCGAGCUCCCCUUCUUCAAUGAUGAUGUUACUACUCGACAAAGGGAUUUAAUAUCAACAGUUCGCAACCGAAUAGCCGUACAUUAUUGGCGUCGCACUGAAGUGCGGCGACUCGUAUGUAAUACGUUUGUUUUUCGCUUAUGGGAGGAGAAGUUGUUUUACGGAUCAAUGUAUAUAUUUUUGCUGUCAGAAUAUCUUGCAUAGUGGUGAUUUUUUGUGUAAAUUAGUGUAAAUAAGUACUGCAUUUGUGCCUAUUACAUUUACUACAACAUUUAUUGCCAAUAAUGCAAAGCUAAUUCUUUUAAUUAAUAACUGAUCACAUGGACUGGGCAAUAAUAAAAGAUCACAAGGACUUGGCAAAUACGCGAACCGUUGAAACUUUCUGGUUUUGUAUAAAAACAAAACAUAAUCAAAAUAUACUUAUUUUGUGGUUUUUCUAACAAUAGCGCAGACUUUUGCUGUUCGAGUUUUGGUUAACGCGUAUUUUCUUCAAUUUUACAAGACGACAGCCAUAACACGGUUUAUUGCUUUAUUGAUAACCGUUACACUACAGUCACUUAUUAAUAUCUUAGUUAGAAGGUGAUUUUUCAAGCGGUUCCGUAGUGUAGUGGUUAUACGCUCGCUUCACAUGUGAGAGGCCCAAGGUUCGAGCCCCAGUAGAAUCAAAUUAUUUUAUUUGUGUUCUAUGUUAACUUUUUGUUUUGAUGUAGACAUUUUAGUUUAAAUAAAUAUGCUGUUUUAUUGUAACCAUUUUUUGUUUUUAUUAUGCCCAUGAAAUAUAUGUGUGAGAGG